CAGUGAAGACGAGUAGGGCGGGGCACGUGAAACCCUGUCUGAACAUGGGGGGACCAUCCUCCAAGGCUAAAUACUACUGACCGACCGAUAGUGAACCAGUACCGUGAGGGAAAGGCGAAAAGAACCCCGGAGAGGGGAGUGAAAUAGAACCUGAAACCGUGUGCGUACAAGCAGUAGGAGCUCCGCAAGGAGUGACUGCGUACCUUUUGUAUAAUGGGUCAGCGACUUACUGUUCGUGGCAAGCUUAACCGUAUAGGGGAGGCGAAGGGAAACCGAGUCUGAUAAGGGCGCAUAGUCGCGGGCAGUAGACCCGAAACCGGGUGAUCUAGUCAUGCCCAGGGUGAAGGUGCGGUAACACGCACUGGAGGCCCGAACCCACUCCCGUUGCAAAGGUAGGGGAUGAGGUGUGAUUAGGAGUGAAAAGCUAAUCGAACCCGGAGAUAGCUGGUUCUCCUCGAAAGCUAUUUAGGUAGCGCCUCAUAUGUAUCCUCUCGGGGGUAGAGCACUGUUAUGGCUAGGGGGUCAUCGCGACUUACCAAACCAUUGCAAACUCCGAAUACCGAGACGGACUGUAUGGGAGACACACGGCGGGUGCUAACGUCCGUCGUGAAAAGGGAAACAACCCAGACCCACAGCUAAGGUCCCAAAUUCACUGCUAAGUGGAAAACCAUGUGGAAAGGCACAGACAGCCAGGAGGUUGGCUUAGAAGCAGCCACCCUUUAAAGAAAGCGUAAUAGCUCACUGGUCGAGUCGGUCUGCGGGGAAGAUUUAACGGGGCUAAGCAGUGAACCGAAGCUUGGGGUGCAUAACUUUGUUAUGCGCGGUAGAGGAGCGUUCCGUAAGCCGUUGAAGGUGGAUUGAGAAGUCUGCUGGAGGUAUCGGAAGUGCGAAUGCUGACAUGAGUAACGAUAAUGCGGGUGAAAAACCCGCACGCCGAAAGCCCAAGGUUUCCUUGCGCAACGUUAAUCGGCGCAGGGUGAGUCGGCCCCUAAGGCGAGGACGAAAGUCGUAGUCGAUGGGAAGCAGGUUAAUAUUCCUGCACCUCGCGUAAGUGCGAUGGAGGGACGGAGAAGGUUAGGUGUACCAGGCGUUGGUUGUCCUGGGGAAAGGCGGUAGGUUUGGAUCUUUGGCAAAUCCGGGAUCCUUUAAGACCGAGCACCGAGACGAGCCUUUAUGGCGAAGUCACUGAUACCACGCUUCCAGGAAAAGCUCCUAAGCUUCAGCUUACGCAGACCGUACCGUAAACCGACACAGGUGGGUAGGAUGAGAAUUCUCAGGCGCUUGAGAGAACUCGGGUGAAGGAACUAGGCAACAUGGCACCGUAACUUCGGGAGAAGGUGCACCCUUUUUGGUGGCUCGUGCGAGCUAUAGCUGAAGAGGGUCGCAGUAACCAGGCCGCUGCGACUGUUUAUCAAAAACACAGCACUCUGCAAACACGAAAGUGGACGUAUAGGGUGUGACGCCUGCCCGGUGCUGGAAGGUUAAUUGAUGGGGUCAGCCGCAAGGCGAAGCUCUUGAUCGAAGCCCCAGUAAACGGCGGCCGUAACUAUAACGGUCCUAAGGUAGCGAAAUUCCUUGUCGGGUAAGUUCCGACCUGCACGAAUGGCGUAACGACAGCGGCGCUGUCUCCACCCGAGACUCAGUGAAAUUGAAAUCGCUGUGAAGAUGCAGCGUUCCCGUGGCAAGACGGAAAGACCCCGUGAACCUUUACUAUAGCUUUACACUGAACGUUGAGUUCGUCUGUGUAGGAUAGGUGGGAGGCUAUGAAACCAUGGCGCUAGCUGUGGCGGAGCCAUCCUUGAAAUACCACCCUGUCGUGCUUGACGUUCUAACCUGGGCCCAUUAUCUGGGUCGGGGACCGUGUAUGGUGGGUAGUUUGACUGGGGCGGUCUCCUCCUAAAGAGUAACGGAGGAGCUCGAAGGUACGCUCAGCGCGGUCGGACAUCGCGCACUGUGUGCAAAGGCAUAAGCGUGCUUGACUGCAAGAUCGACGGAUCAAGCAGGUAGGAAACUAGGACUUAGUGAUCCGGUGGUUCUGUAUGGAAGGGCCAUCGCUCAACGGAUAAAAGGUACUCCGGGGAUAACAGGCUGAUACCGCCCAAGAGUUCAUAUCGACGGCGGUGUUUGGCACCUCGAUGUCGGCUCAUCACAUCCUGGGGCUGUAGUCGGUCCCAAGGGUAUGGCUGUUCGCCAUUUAAAGUGGUACGCGAGCUGGGUUCAGAACGUCGUGAGACAGUUCGGUCCCUAUCUGCCAUGGGCGUUGGAGAUUUGAGAGGGGCUGCUCCUAGUACGAGAGGACCGGAGUGGACGAACCUCUGGUGUUCCGGUUGUCACGCCAGUGGCAUUGCCGGGUAGCUAUGUUCGGAAGCGAUAACCGCUGAAAGCAUCUAAGCGGGAAGCGCGCCUCAAGAUGAGAUCUCCCGGGGCACAAGCCCCCUGAAGGAACCAUGUAGACUACGUGGUUGAUAGGUCAGGUGUGUAAGUACAGCAAUGUAUUGAGCUAACUGAUACUAAUGAUCCGUGCGGCUUGACCAU
rnacentral:rRNA from 1 species